AUUGAACGCUGGCGGCGGGCCUAACACAUGCAAGUCGAACGGGUAGCGGAAUGGUGAGUCAUGUAUGUGCAAGUGCCUGAUGGCGCGGUAUAACUGCUGGAAACGGUAGAUAAUGCCGCAUAACAUCGGAUGUGCCCAUAUUGGAUUAGCUAGUAGGUGGGGUAAAGGCUCACCUAGGCGACGAUCCCUAGCUGGUCUGAGAGGCUGACCAGCCACACUGGAACUGAGACACGGCCCAGACUCCUACGGGAGGCAGCAGUGGGUAAUAUUGAACAAUGGGCGCAAGCCUGAUGCAGCCAUGCCGCGGGUGUGAAGAAGGCCUUCGGAUUGUAAAUUGCUUUCGUCGGGGAGGCGUUAGCCUUAGAAGAAGCAUCGGCUAACUCCGUUCCAGCAGCCGCGGUAAUAC
rnacentral:rRNA from 1 species